rnacentral:rRNA from 1 species
UUUCCUACGGGGGGCAGCAGUGAGGGAUAUUGGUCAAUGGGCGGGAGCCUGAACCAGCCAAGUCGCGUGAGGGAAGACGGUCCUAUGGAUUGUAAACCUCUUUAGGCGGGGAGCAAUGCCGGGCACGCGUGCCCGGAGGGAGAGCACCCGCAGAAUAAGCAUCGGCUAACUCCGUGCCAGCAGCCGCGGUAAUACGGAGGAUGCGAGCGUUAUCCGGAUUUAUUGGGUUUAAAGGGUGCGUAGGCGGAUUUUUAAGUCAGUUGUGAAAGUUUGCGGCUCAACCGUAAAAUUGCAGUUGAAACUGG